rnacentral:misc_RNA from 1 species
AAGUCGUAACAAGGUUUCCGUAGGUGAACCUGCGGAAGGAUCAUCAUUGUAGGAGUGAGGUCCCUUUUUUUGAGGCCUUGACAACCUUUUUAGAGUCCCAGCAAACAGACAACAAGGGGGAGCAAUUGGCUGAGAUAGGAAGCGAGGGAAACAAGAAACAACUUUCAACAACGGAUCUCUUGGCUCUCA